rnacentral:rRNA from 1 species
AUUGCAGGACACAUUGAGCACUGAUUUUUCGAACGCACAUUGCGGCCUCGGGUCCUGCCCGGGGCCUCGCCUGUCUGAGGGUCGGAUAAGACUUGCAAAGGAAGGUUUUCUUCCAAUUGGCCGCGUCGGAGAUCAAUGGUCUUCGUCGGCUCAAGUACUUAUAGGAUCCUCCCCGGUCGAGAGAGCACAAGCCCUAGAGCGUGCUCGUCGCUCGGAGAAGACGGACAACGUUUCUCCACGAAGACGAGACGGUUUGUUGUUGAGAAGACCAAUUGAAAGGGGAAGAGUUCCUACGUAGACAUAGUCUACAGAGACUGUAUAUUAUGACGACCUCAGAUCAGACGAGAUGACCCGCUGAAUUUAAGCAUAU